UACGUAGGGUGCGAGCGUUGUCCGGAAUUAUUGGGCGUAAAGGGCUCGUAGGCGGUCUGUCACGUCAGGAGUAGAAACUCGGGCUCAACCCCGAGCCUGCUUCUGAUACGGGCAGACUGGAGGUAUGCAGGGGAGAACGGAAUUCCUGGUGUAGCGGUGAAAUGCGCAGAUAUCAGGAGGAACACCGGUGGCGAAGGCGGGUCUCUGGGCAACAACUGACGCUGAGGAGCGAAAGCGUGGGGAGCGAACAGG
rnacentral:rRNA from 1 species